rnacentral:lncRNA from 1 species
CGAGGCCAAACCAGAAGUGCAGGGUGCCCCGGGGUCCCAUAUUGACUCUGUGGGAUUCUACUUGUUGGCACUAUCAUGAUGACUUCCACCAGCUUCCCCCAUCUUUGUCUGACUUCAAGGAAAAGAAGAAAGGAAAUCUUCUGUCAUGAGAGAGAAAACAGCAGAGAGGCAUAGGUGAGGCCUUUGGAACCCAUGCACAGAAGAACUGAUUCUUGUAUCUCGUUGUAGAGGAGUAAGGUCUUGUAAAAGUUAUUCCCCCUCCCCCCGAAAAACAGUAGAAAUGCAAGAUUAAGUUAAGACAAUAAUAACAG